ACAAGUUAUCAAACUGCAACAAAAGCAAAAGUAUCAGUGAGUGUUCGACCAAAAUUAGACAAUGGAAUCACACAGGAUCAGAAAUACAUUUUUCCAUAUAGCAUUUAAUGGACUACUAAUUACUGACCAUAAAGUCGCUCAUCAAUGAUCAUCUAGGAUGAUGAAAGAAUCAGGCACUAAACACCAUUAAGCAGAACUUAAUAAUCAAAAUCAUUAACAUCAAUAAUUAGUUAGUUCCUAUAAAACCAUAUUAAAAAAAAAGAAGGAAAAGUAAUGUUAAUAAUAAAUGUGUUUUACAUUAUUUAAUAGUAAUAGUUGAGUAAAACAAAGUUGGAUUCAACAACUCAAUUACUCCAAUUGGAAUCGAACAAGUUCAAGAUAAUCAAACAAAAUAAGUAACAUUCAAAAACACAGAAAAACUGAAGUUUAUCAGUACAGAUCUGAGUAAAACCUAGUCUAAAUCAUAAACCAAUAAUAAAACCAUUUUUCAAAUAAUUGAAUUCAAUAACCAGAUUAGUGAGCUACAAAACUAAGAAGACAAAAGCAGGUCUGAGGAUAAAUCAGACCACACAAUAAGCAUUUCCAAGCAUUAGCAGUUUAUUAUCCAUUUUUUAGCAAGCAACAUGAGUAGUUCAUGCAAAUCAACAUAAUUUAACCCAAACGUUAGAAGUAAUAGUUGAGGAAAACAACCAGAUGAAAUAACGGGCAAACUGAAACAUAAAGCAAACAACUUUAGCAAACGGCAGCAGAUCUAAAUCAAGGAGAUCCAG
rnacentral:misc_RNA from 1 species